UCAGGCUGAAGACCUUACCCGAUUAGCUGAGAGGUGGUGCAUGGCCGUCGUCAGUUCGUACUGUGAAGCAUCCUGUUAAGUCAGGCAACGAGCGAGACCCACGUCCACAGUUGCCAGCAUACCCUCCGGGGUGGAUGGGUACGACUGUGGAGACCGCCGCUGCUAAAGACGGAGGAAGGAGUGGGCGAGCGGUAGGUCAGUAUGCCCCGAAUCUCCCGGGCUACACGCGGGCUACAAUGGUUGGUACAAUGGGCAUCUACCCCGAAAGGGGAAGGAAAUCUCUUAAAGCCAAUCGUAGUUCGGAUUGAGGGCUGCAACUCGCCCUCAUGAAGCUGGAAUCCGUAGUAAUCGCGUUUCAACAGAACGCGGUGAAUACGUCCCUGCUCCUU
rnacentral:rRNA from 1 species